rnacentral:rRNA from 1 species
CCCUUAGAUGUUCUGGGCCGCACGCGCGCUACACUGACGGAGGCAGCGAGCGUGUCCUUCGCCGGCAGGUGCGGGCAAUCUUGCGAGUCUCCGUCGUGCUGGGGAUAGAUGGUUGCAAUUGUCGAUCUUGAACGAGGAAUUCCUAGUAAGCGCGAGUCAUCAGCUCGCGCUGAUUACGUCCCUGCCCUUGGUACACACCGCCCGUCGCUACUACAGAGUGCCCGUGUCCAAGAAACGGUCGGACCUGUGCGGCCUCUCCGGGCGACCGGAGGGCCGUUACGGGGAAGACCCUUUAUUUGACGCGGGUCGAUGAAGUAAAAGUCGUAACA